rnacentral:rRNA from 1 species
UACGUAGGUGGCAAGCGUUGUCCGGAUUUAUUGGGCGUAAAGAGCGUGUAGGCGGCCAGGUAGGUCUGCUGUGAAAACUCGAAGCUCAACCUCGAGACGUCGGCGGAAACCAUCUGGCUAGAGUCCGGAAGAGGAGAGUGGAAUUCCUGGUGUAGCGGUGAAAUGCGCAGAUAUCAGGAAGAACACCUAUGGCGAAGGCAGCUCUCUGGGACGGUACUGACGCUGAGACGCGAAAGCGUGGGGAGCGAACAGG